rnacentral:sRNA from 1 species
GAUAUUAUAAUAUCCUUCUUUUCAUAUCCUCACCAGAAGCAGUUUACGCUGGCACGUUCGACGAGAAUGUCGGUACCCGCUCUUGAAGGUAUCCGAACUGACCCGCAGCACCCGCACCUUCAAUAGAAUAUGCGGAAAUAGCCGACCGGAGACUCACAGUCCCUUCCGGCGCUGAUACCGGGCGCGCAGCCAGAAGAUCAGGAAGAAGGCUAUCACGAAUAGGCAGCCGACGGCGGCCGCAAGCCAUGGGGAUAUGUCGCCGAGCCUCACCAUGAUCGAGGGCAGCGCAAAGAAGCCGAUCCCGACCACCAGCAGAAUGAUGGCUGCCGCGACGGCGGGCGAUUUCUCCUUCUCGGGCGUGCUCACCUUCGUUCCUCCUGCGCAAGCGUUGCGCGGAUAUCCUCGAGGCGCUGCUUCUGGCGUCCGUCGCGAUCGAAAUUGUCGGGCGAAAGCCACUGCUCGAAAGCGGUCUUGAUGAGCGGCCAUUCGCGAUCGAUCAUCGAGAACCAGGCCGUAUCGCGAUUGGCGCGUUUCGAAACCAUGUGCUGACGGAAAAUGCCUUCGAAGAUGAAGCCGAGGCGCGCCGCGGUGGUGCGGCUCGCCUGAUUUUCGCUGUGGCACUUCCAUUCAUAGCGCCUAUAGCCGAGGUCGUCGAACACAUGCCUGGCCAUGAGAUAGUGCGCUUCAGUCGAAAGCGGCGAUCGCGCCAUGGCGGACCCAUGCGCGACGCCGCCGACCUCGACGACGCCGUUGGCGGGAUCGGCGCGCAUGUAGUUUGCCAUGCCGACGACCUUGCCGCUCGCCUUCUCGCGAAAGACCUCGGUCACCCAGCCCGACUUCUGCUGAACCGCCGAAAGCCAGGUGUCGAAAUCCUCUAUGCCCGAAAAAUCCUCCUGGGAGAAAUAUUUGAGCAGAGGGUUGAUGGCCAUGCCGCCGAAGGCAUCGCUCCAGAGGGCGUUCAGAUGUUUCGCCCGAUCAUAGGGCUCGACAAGGACGUAUCGCCCCUCGAUGAGCACCGGUUUCGGCGCCGAGCAUCCUUUCCAGUGGGCAAGAUCACGCAUCAACUGCUCCCGCGUUUGCAUUCGCACUGGCCAUAGGACAGACGCAGGGCGGUGACAAAUUCAAACUCGUGAUGCGACCCAUGAGCGGAACGGAUCGACGCCCGCUCAUGAAUUCGUUCAAGCCGGAAUCUUUGCCGCAGAAACCGUCGCCUCGAUGUGGUCGACGAGCGCAUCGGCCAGGCCGAGCCGCCCGGCAAGCAGAUCGAGAUAGCCGCGCUCGGCCCGGCCGUCCGGCUCGAUCGCGAGACGGGAGGCCGUAUAGAUCUCCACCCGCUCCUCCUCCGUCUUCCCGGCGGAGAUGAUGGCGUCGAGAUCGAUCGGGUUGACGAGCUCCGCUUCCAGGAAGGCCGCCGCAUCCGCGGAAAGGCCCGAAACGGAUAGCU